rnacentral:rRNA from 1 species
AUUGAACGCUAGCGGCAGGCCUAACACAUGCAAGUCGAACGAGUGGCGGACGGGUGAGUCAUUUCCGGGAAACUGACUUAUGGAGGGGGAUAACUACUCGACACGGUACCUAAUCCCGCCUACCAUCAGCUUUUCCCAGGUGGGGUUGGCUAGUUGGUUGGGUAACGGUUCACCAAGGCGACGAUCCGUAGCUGGUCUGAGAGGAUGACCAGCCACACGGGAACUGAGACACGGUACAGACUCCUACGGGAGGCAGCAGUGGGGAAUAUUGCACUAUGGACGCAGGCCUGAUGCAGCCAAGCCGCGUGUAGGAAGAAGGCCUGCGGGUGGUAAAGGACUUUCGGCGGGGAGGCGGUACCCGAAGAAUAAGCACCGGCUAACUCCGUGCCAGCAGCCGCGGUAAUUC